rnacentral:tRNA from 1 species
AGCUGUUUAGUUUAUUAUUGA